rnacentral:rRNA from 1 species
AUUGAACGCUGGCGGCAGGCCUAACACAUGCAAGUCGAGCGGGGUUUCCGGACCUAGCGGCGGACGGGUGAGUAAUGCGUAGGAAGCUACCCGAUAGAGGGGGAUACCAGUUGGAAACGACUGUUAAUACCGCAUAAUGUCUACGGACCAAAGUGUGGGACCUUCGGGCCACAUGCUAUCGGAUGCGCCUACGUGGGAUUAGCUAGUUGGUGGGGUAAUGGCUCACCAAGGCGACGAUCCCUAGCUGGUUUGAGAGGAUGAUCAGCCACACUGGAACUGAGACACGGUCCAGACUCCUACGGGAGGCAGCAGUGGGGAAUAUUGGACAAUGGGCGCAAGCCUGAUCCAGCCAUGCCGCGUGUGUGAAGAAGGCCUUCGGGUUGUAAAGCACUUUCAGUAGGGAGGAAGAGUUGAGUGUUAAUAGUACUCAGCUUUGACGUUACCUACAGAAGAAGCACCGGCUAACUCUGUGCCAGCCGCCGCUGUAACAC